GGUUAAGUUAUUAAGGGCGCAUGGGGGAUGCCUUGGCACUAGGAGCCGAUGAAGGACGGGACUAACACCGAUAUGCUUCGGGGAGCUGUAAGUAAGCUUUGAUCCGGAGAUUUCCGAAUGGGGGAACCCAACUUGUUAUGCAAGUUAUCACCUAAUGAAUAUAUAGUUAGGUUGAAGGUAGACGUUGUGAACUGAAACAUCUCAUUAGCAACAGGAAUAGAAAGAAAAAUCGAUACCGUCAGUAGCGGCGAGCGAAAUCGGUGAGCCCAACCAAAGUGCUUGCACUUUGGGGUUGUAGGGACUGACAUUGUGGAGUUACAAAGUUAUCAUUUAUCAGAAUCAGCUGGGAGCUGAGCGAGACAGGGUGAUAGCCCCGUAUGCGAAA
rnacentral:rRNA from 1 species